rnacentral:rRNA from 1 species
AGAGUUUGAUCCUGGCUCAGGACGAACGCUGGCGGCGUGCUUAACACAUGCAAGUCGAACGGGGCAUAGAGAUAUGCCUAGUGGCGGACGGGUGAGUAACACGUGAGCAACCUAUCCUAUACAACGGGAUAACACAGAGAAAUUUGUGCUAAUACGGUAUAAGACCACACUCCGGCAUCGGAGAGGGGUAAAAGCUGAGGCGGUAUAGGAGGGGCUCGCGGCCCAUUAGCUAGUUGGAGAGGUAACGGCUCACCAAGGCGACGAUGGGUAGCCGAUCUGAGAGGAUGAACGGCCACAUUGGAACUGAGAAACGGUCCAAACUCCUACGGGAGGCAGCAGUGGGGAAUAUUGGGCAAUGGAGGCAACUCUGACCCAGCAACGCCGCGUGAAUGAAGAAGGUCUUCGGAUUGUAAAGUUCUUUAGCGAGGGACGAAAAGAAUGACGGUACCUCGAGAAUAAGCCACGACUAACUACGUGCCAGCAGUCGCGGUAAUACGUAGGUGGCGAGCGUUGUCCGGAAUGACUGGGCGUAAAGGGAGCGUAGGCGGCACAACAAGUUAGGAGUGAAAUACCGUGGCUUAACCACGGAACUGCUUUUAAAACUGUUGAGCUAGAGUGAUGGAGAGGAAAGCGGAAUUCCUAGUGUAGCGGUGGAAUGCGUAGAUAUUAGGAGGAACACCAGAGGCGAAGGCGGCUUUCUGGACAUUAACUGACGCUGAGGCUCGAAAGCGUGGGGAGCAAACAGGAUUAGAUACCCUGGUAGUCCACGC